rnacentral:rRNA from 1 species
ACGUAGGUGGCAAGCGUUAUCCGGAUUUACUGGGCGUAAAGCGUGUGCAGACGGGGCGUCAAGUGGUGUAUGAAAUCGCCCGGCUCAACCGGGCGGGGUUAUGCCAGACUGGCGUGCUAGAGGGUGCGAGAGGGACGUGGAAUUCCGGGUGUAGUGGUGAAAUGCGUAGAGAUCCGGAGGAACCCCUGAGGCGAAGGCGGCGUCCUGGCGCACUUCUGACGUUCAGACACGACAGCAUGGGGAGCGAACGGGA